rnacentral:rRNA from 1 species
UGCCUACGGGAGGCAGCAGUGGGGAAUAUUGCACAAUGGGGGAAACCCUGAUGCAGCAACGCCGCGUGGGUGAAGGAGCGUUUCGGCGCGUAAAGCCCUGUCAGCGGGGAAGAAGAAAGACGGUACCCGACCAAGAAGCCCCGGCUAACUACGUGCCAGCAGCCGCGGUAAUACGUAGGGGGCGAGCGUUAUCCGGAAUUACUGGGUGUAAAGGGAGCGUAGACGGCAGUGCAAGUCCGGAGUGAAAGCCGGGGGCUCAACCCUGGGACUGCUCUGGAAACUGUAAAGCUGGAGUGCGGGAGGGG